GACGAACGCUGGCGGCGUGCUUAACACAUGCAAGUCGAACGGAAAGGCCCUGCUUUUGUGGGGUGCUCGAGUGACGAACGGGUGAGUAACACGUGAGUAACCUGCCCUUGACUUUGGGAUAACUUCAGGAAACUGGGGCUAAUACCGGAUAGGAGCUCCUGCUGCAUGGUGGGGGUUGGAAAGUUUCGGCGGUUGGGGAUGGACUCGCGGCUUAUCAGCUUGUUGGUGGGGUAGUGGCUUACCAAGGCUUUGACGGGUAGCCGGCCUGAGAGGGUGACCGGCCACAUUGGGACUGAGAUACGGCCCAGACUCCUACGGGAGGCAGCAGUGGGGAAUAUUGCACAAUGGGCGGAAGCCUGAUGCAGCAACGCCGCGUGCGGGAUGACGGCCUUCGGGUUGUAAACCGCUUUCGCCUGUGACGAAGCGUGAGUGACGGUAAUGGGUAAAGAAGCACCGGCUAACUACGUGCCAGCAGCCGCGGUGAUACGUAGGGUGCGAGCGUUGUCCGGAUUUAUUGGGCGUAAAGGGCUCGUAGGUGGUUGAUCGCGUCGGAAGUGUAAUCUUGGGGCUUAACCCUGAGCGUGCUUUCGAUACGGGUUGACUUGAGGAAGGUAGGGGAGAAUGGAAUUCCUGGUGGAGCGGUGGAAUGCGCAGAUAUCAGGAGGAACACCAGUGGCGAAGGCGGUUCUCUGGGCCUUUCCUGACGCUGAGGAGCGAAAGCGUGGGGAGCGAACAGGCUUAGAUACCCUGGUAGUCCACGCUGUAAACGGUGGGUACUAGGUGUGGGGUCCAUUCCACGGGUUCCGUGCCGUAGCUAACGCUUUAAGUACCCCGCCUGGGGAGUACGGCCGCAAGGCUAAAACUCAAAGGAAUUGACGGGGCCCCGCACAAGCGGCGGAGCAUGCGGAUUAAUUCGAUGCAACGCGUAGAACCUUACCUGGGUUUGACAUGGAUCGGGAGUGCUCAGAGAUGGGUGUGCCUCUUUUGGGGUCGGUUCACAGGUGGUGCAUGGCUGUCGUCAGCUCGUGUCGUGAGAUGUUGGGUUAAGUCCCGCAACGAGCGCAACCCUUGUUCACUGUUGCCAGCACGUUAUGGUGGGGACUCAGUGGAGACCGCCGGGGUCAACUCGGAGGAAGGUGGGGAUGACGUCAAGUCAUCAUGCCCCUUAUGUCCAGGGCUUCACGCAUGCUACAAUGGCUGGUACAGAGAGUGGCGAGCCUGUGAGGGUGAGCGAAUCCCGGAAAGCCGGUCUCAGUUCGGAUUGGGGUCUGCAACUCGACCUCAUGAAGUCGGAGUCGCUAGUAAUCGCAGAUCAGCAACGCUGCGGUGAAUACGUUCCCGGGGCU
rnacentral:rRNA from 1 species